CAACAGGGAUUGCCUCAGUAACGGCGAGUGAAGCGGCAACAGCUCAAAUUUGAAAUCUGGUCCCCUCUGGGGGCCCGAGUUGUAAUUUGAAGAGGAUGCUUUUGGCGAGGCGCCUUCCGAGUGCCCUGGAACGGGACGCCACAGAGGGUGAGAGCCCCGUAUGGUAGGACGCCGAGCCUCUGUAAAGCUCCUUCGACGAGUCGAGUAGUUUGGGAAUGCUGCUCAAAAUGGGAGGUAAACCCCUUCUAAAGCUAAAUAUUGGCCAGAGACCGAUAGCGCACAAGUAGAGUGAUCGAAAGAUGAAAAGCACUUUGAAAAGAGAGUUAAACAGCACGUGAAAUUGUUGAAAGGGAAGCGCUUGCGACCAGACUUGCGCCCGUCGGAUCAACCGUCCCUCGUGGGCGGCGCACUCCGGCGGGCUCAGGCCAGCAUCAGUUUUCCCGGGGGGAGAAAGGCGGUGGGAAUGUGGCUCUUCGGAGUGUUAUAGCCCGCCGCGUAAUGCCCUCGGGGGGACUGAGGACCGCGCGUAUGCAAGGAUGCUGGCGUAAUGGUCGUCAGCGACCCGUCUUGAAACACGGACCAAGGAGUCGUCCUAAUAUGCGAGUGUACGGGUGUAAAACCCCUGCGCGUAAUGAAAGUGAACGGAGGUGAGAGCUUCGGCGCAUCAUCGACCGAUCCUGAUGUUCUCGGAUGGAUUUGAGUAAGAGCAUAUUGGGCCGGACCCGAAAGAAGGUGAACUAUGCCUGUAUAGGGUGAAGCCAGAGGAAACUCUGGUGGAGGCUCGCAGCGGUUCUGACGUGCAAAUCGAUCGUCAAAUAUGGGCAUGGGGGCGAAAGACUAAUCGAACCU
rnacentral:rRNA from 1 species